AUGAACGCUGGCGGCGUGCCUAAUCCAUGCAAGUCGCGCGAACAGACGAGGAGCUUGCUCCUCUGACGUUAGCGGCGGACGGGUGAGUAACACGUGGAUAACCUACCUAUAAGACUGGGAUAACUUCGGGAAACCGGAGCUAAUACCGGAUAAUAUAUUGAACCGCAUGGUUCAAUAGUGAAAAACGGUUUUGCUGUCACUUAUAGAUGGAUCCGCGCCGCAUUAGCUAGUUGGUAAGGUAACGGCUUACCAAGGCAACGAUGCGUAGCCGACCUGAGAGGGUGAUCGGCCACACUGGAACUGAGACACGGUCCAGACUCCUACGGGAGGCAGCAGUAGGGAAUCUUCCGCAAUGGGCGAAAGCCUGACGGAGCAACGCCGCGUGAGUGAUGAAGGUCUUCGGAUCGUAAAACUCUGUUAUUAGGGAAGAACAAAUGUGUAAGUAACUAUGCACGUCUUGACGGUACCUAAUCAGAAAGCCACGGCUAACUACGUG
rnacentral:rRNA from 1 species